GCAGACACAUUCCAGCCAAUCAGCAGCAGACUCUCCCUCCCAGACCCUCCCACCUCCUGGACAGCAUCCAUUUUACAUUCAUUGUGAAGCUGCAUUCUUAGUGAGCUGUCCAGGAGGUGGGAGGGUCUGGGAGGGAGGGUCUGCUGCUGAUUGGCUCUAACUAGCCU
rnacentral:miRNA from 1 species